AGCAGCCGCGGUAAUUCCAGCUCCAAUAGCGUAUAUUAAAGUUGUUGCAGUUAAAAAGCUCGUAGUUGAAUUUCGGGGCCAGUAGGUUGGUCGUGCCACUGGUAUGCACUGGCCUUACUGGUCCCUCCCUCUUGUAGAACCGUGAUGCCAUUAAUUUGGUGCUGCGGGGAGACUGGACUGUUACUUUGAAAAAUUAGAGUGUUUAAAGCAGGCUAACGCUUGAAUACAUUAGCAUGGAAUAAUGAAAUAGGACGUUCGAUCUUAUUUUGUUGGUUUCUAAGAUUGACGUAAUGAUUAAUAGGGAUAGUUGGGGGCAUUAGUAUUCAAUUGUCAGAGGUGAAAUUCUUGGAUUUAUUGAAGACUAACUACUGCGAAAGCAUUUGCCAAGGAUGUUUUCAUUAAUCAAGAACGAAGUUAGGGGAUCGAAGACGAUCAGAUACCGUCGUAGUCUUAACCAUAAACUAUGCCGACUAGGGAUCGGAUGAUGUUAAUUUUUAAUGACUCAUUCGGCGUCCG
rnacentral:rRNA from 1 species